ensembl:snRNA U6 U6 spliceosomal RNA
GUGCUGUCUUGGGCAGCACAUGUACCAAAAUGGGAACCUUACUGAGAAGGUCAACAUGGCCUCUGCACACGGAUGACGUGCAAAUUCAUGAAGGGUACCGUAUUUGA